GUGUGACAGUUGUUAGCUGGCUUUCCUAGAAGGUUGGGCUAGUUGCCAUCACAACUAUUCAGAUUUUGGGUCUUGACAAGAAAUUGCGAUGUGCAUAUGAGUGAUGGGUUACGUUGUGUGGCUAUAUCUUGUGAAUAUAUUUACGAUUUGUUGCAUCUGGUUAAGAUUGAUACAGUAUAUAUAUGCAAGAAUCAAAUCUUAGAAGGAGUCCUGGAUGUUGAAAUUUGGUUACAAGGCUUAUCAGUAAAGGCUGAAUAAAGGAUCUUUAGCUGAGAUUAUGUGGAUGGGCCUG
rnacentral:lncRNA from 1 species